UGAAGAGCCUGCGGAGCUUUGCUACUUUUGUACAAAGGUGGUUCCCAAGCAGGAGGAAGAACCGAAAAUAGAAGUGUGUUGCUGUGGAUGGUGCUAAGUGCCGGUGGGCUCGGCCUUCUUAAUAGUCUAAGUACCUCUUCUAUACUUCUUAUUGAGGAUGGUCACUUAAGCUAGCAUAUAUUUCAAACUUACAAGUAAUUUAUAACAUUUCAAAAUUUAUUUCUUUGAAUCACUUUGUAAUCACUCCAAUAAACUUAAUGUAAAUUUGAUGUAACUUGUAACCUUUUGUAAUAAAGAAAUUCCGCUGCAAAAUAUUGGUGUGUGAUUUGUGUUUACUUAAUCUUGCGAUCUUGGUUCUAAGUGGUUUAUCCGGGGUCUUUGGGACACUCGGACGGAUCCUGUUAAGUUAUUUGGUGCACAUGCAUAGCCGUCUGAGGUCUUUGAGAGGUUCUGCCACAGCUGGUAUCGGAGCAGGAUUAAGUAUAUACGGUCACAUACGUAUUUUCAAAACAAAAUUUUUGAUUUCGAAAAACCUAUUUUCAACUAAACACAUUGUUUGGCUUUGAAAAACAGUUUUGAAAAACUAUAAUGCUAGCGACAUCCUCUGUUAAGCCCUAAAACUAAGGACUAUCAGGUGGCUUAGUUCAAAACCACUAACCCACAACCGGGGGUAUUGCAUACAUGUGUAUUGUUAUUUUGAGGCCAUUCAGUUUUGAAUCGAUCGACGCUCAAGGUAAGGUGAGAUGUGAGAGCAUGACCGAACAAACGUCGGUCUAGGGAAGAGUAUAAAAAGCGCUUGAUUAUAUACAUGUUACACAUAUGUAUAUAUGAAGGCUGCGAUGUGGAGUAUUUACUUUUCUGGGAAUUCAGUACCCCAUGGAUGUGUAUGGGUAUACAGACAUGGGAAUACUAAGAAGUGUAAUGUACUUGUAACGACGCACCUACGCUCAGGUAAGAAGGUGAGUCACCAUAAUGGGUUGCCCUAUGGUUAAAGUGUGGCAACGACGCCUAUGCGUGGCACAGCGCUUAAUGAUGAGCUGACCUCCGUAUAGCAAUAUAUGGAGUAUAACCUAUGAUAAACUGUCAUGUGUGAACUGCAUCAUGGGAAAUUGGGUUGUGAUGGACUUUUCUGCAGGUACACUAACCUCGAAAAUGUAUAUGUAGCUGAUGACUAGCAAAAUACCGUGAGACUCGUAAGUAUGCCACCGAUAUAGAACGUUAUUGCCACAUUAUGUUGGCAAAAUUAGUGAGGACGAAUAAGACGAGCAUGCAUCCUGAUUGUUGCAUCGUGUUUGUCACCUAUACACCCAAAAUGCUUCUCUCAUCUUUAUUCCAGUAACUAGUGAUUGUAGAUAAUGUGGUUUAAUGUUGAAUUACGAAUUUCGAUGAAAUAGUUGUCCUCCGUUCUUUAGGUAAUCUAUUUAGGUGUUAUACGUGUUUGCUCUUGUAUGGAUGUGCCAAUAAAAUGUUGGUGACUUGUUUGCCUAAACCCAAAACUAGGUCAUGUUCUUAUAUAGCGAACCGUGACCCGAAGUUGAUUUUUCCAUUAUCACUCCAUGACCAAGCUCAUGCAAAUAGAUGUUUAGGUAAUCCCCUUAUUGGAACUAAUAUUCACUCAAACUUAAAAAAAAUCUCGAGUCCCUGAUCUUAACAGCCAACUUGUGGCUCUUAUGGUCAUAUUUUCAUCCUAAAACAUACUUUUGUUCGGUUGGUGCAAGCUGAUGUACCUUAUCCAGUUUGCCUGUUUUUAAGGAUCGCCAUGUUGCUUUAUCAACCUAAUUUAGGAAAGACAUGUCCGAUCAUUUUCUUGAGUUUGAUGCCUUUGUUUCUCCCUAUCUAUCGAAGGCAUACCAACUUAAUCUUAUGCUUGUUUUCCCUCUGUAUCUAAUUAGAUACUAAUUCUUGACCUUGUGAUCUCUAUGAUGGGCAUAGAAAUAUGUUUGGGGCUGAAGUAAUAGUCUCCCAUCGUACUUCUCUCAUCAAGUUGAGGUUAUGGCCAUACCUUGUUCGUUUCAUCGAGCCAUAAUCUAUUUGACUCUCUACUUGUAACCGUUUUCACAGGUAGAGUCUUUCGUAUAUUGCCAUCCAUGCUCAGUCUAUUGGUGUCGUGUGAGAUUUCUUAUUGGUUAUGUCUGGUAAUGGUGUUAUGACUAAAACCGAUUUCACCGCGAUGAAACCGAGGGCCUCCUGUGGGUGCACACACAUGGUUGCGCUACUUGGUACGCGCUGGUAUCACCGUUAGUAGUCAUAAUCUAUUAUGAGACUAUAUCGAUAUGUUGUCUCUGCACAAAUUGUUCUUACCAUGUGAGAUUCAUUAUUGGUGCCAGUUUUGCAAUGGUGUCAUGGUUAGGAACUUAUGGUACCGCGGCGAAACUGAGAGCCUCCUGUGAAUGCGCACAAAGGAUUUUGCUGCUUGGUGCAUGUCGGUACCAAGGUCUCUGGUCAUGAUCCAUUGUGGAACUACACUGAGGUGUUAUUUCCCGUAGAUCUCUUCCUUGAAACAAUUUCUAUGUUGUUUGUCAAGUGAUCAAGCAACGUCCAUCAUCUCUGUUGGAUCAAAAGGGUCAUACCACUUUUUGGUGUGGCCUCUUUUCUUUUGAUCUUGGUAGUGACUACUUAUAGAAGUUCCCUUUACAUCCUUUGUGUAAAGGUGAAGCCUUGGAGCUUUUUAGUGUUGAGAGACAACUGAUUAGCUCUCAAAAUGGAGAUCUGUUUCCCCUGCUGCUGAGAUGUAGGAGUUUGUUCAUUCACUCUCUUAUUAAUCCCUAUAUUCCUUAACCAAGUAGAUAAUUCAUCUCGCAUGAAGAAACAGAUGAACAACCUGACCAAAUGGAUUUCUACCCAAAUGCAUGACCUUUUUCUAACAAAAAGGAACUCUCAACCCUUGGCUUACCGAUGGUACUGAGAGGACUUGCUCAAUGUCAAAAGUAGUUACACAAGUUGAUUUUCUAACUUGUAACUGCUUUGUGAUCAAAGGUCAAGUUUGGAGAUCGUUUCAUCGAGUUAUCUAAACUCGCUUUGGUUCAAACCAUCUUAAGGAAGUGUUUAUAAGAAUCGAGAUUAAGUCGACCAGUAACCACCCGGUCAUCGUUCUAGUCGUGCCUCGAUCGCCUCAUGUAUGCUUUUCCAGCAUGUGUGAUCAAGUCGAGCUAUGAUUAAUGUUUUAAAAAAAUGGAUUGAUCGUGAAGUCAACCUCAACGGAUAUCUUCAUUGAUAUUUCCUCAAAUCUCCAUCAUUUUUCGUGGACUUGAAUUAUCUGGUUAGCCACAUGUUAACCGUGACAGUAUUCGACAUCCACACCUGUCUCGUGUGCUAUGAACUUAUCGUGACCACUUGUUGGUAAACCUCUUUCUGUGUGUUUUACCCAAGAGGUUGCAUCUGGUUCUGUUUGGAUAAAGUCGCAUAUCUACCGCUAGCCCAACCGACUCGGAUAGUACAGUGUCAUCAGAAAAAGCAAACUGCAUAUAUGGAAUCUUAUGUGUUCCUCUCGCACACAUCGUCUCUAUUGGUGGACAUUUCUAAAUUAGAGUAAGGCGAUACUCGCCUGUAUUUGGAACCGUCUUAUGGUUAUCGCUGAUAUGGACAUGGGUUCCAUGCUUCUCUACUCUUAGAAGUCUUUCGUUCCGAAUCUCGGGACGAGAUUCUUUUAAGGGGGAGGGCUGUAAUACCCCUGGUGUUUAUAUUCUGCUCGACAACGAGUAUAGAUUUAAGCACGUAAUAUCAGUAGAUAAAAUAGAUGCUAAAUUUUAAUCAUCUUUGUCUAUCGCGGUUUUAAUAUUGCAUCUGUUUCUAUCUAUUUAGACUCCUAAAAUUUUCACGAAUUUCAGAAUGUAAUUGUUCUGAAAGCUUGCGAGUCGGUGCCCAAUUAAAAUCGCAUCUGUUUCGUCUGUCGCGAGUUCGACAUCGUUUUUAUUUAUCUGAUGUCUUCCUAAAUUUUCGUGAUGUUCGGAACAUAGUUGUUUCGAAAAUCGGUGCGGCCGGUGAUUAUUUAAAAUUCAUCGCUCGCGCGAAUAUAAAUUCGGAAGCUCGACCCACUAGGUGAUUUUAUCCCGGGCAAAUUAGUUUGAACUCGACGACUAAAAUGUUCGGGGUAAUAUAAUUUGAAUCGGGCGAAAUCGUGCGCGAGGAUAUGAUCCUAUUUAUCCUUCAGCACGCUGUUUUGACGACACAAAUCGCGUAUACAUUAGCAGAUAUAGUUGCGGCUAAUGUCAGUCAAAUCAGGCAGAGCAAAAUUAACAAAGCUGAAAUAUGUUUAAUUCGGUCCGUGCUUUUCGCCUUGAUCUAAAAGGUGAAUUAACGAUACGAAUUCAUCCAGCUCCUGAGAAUUCGCCAAAUCAAAUCGUGUCCAAUUAUUGUUAUCAAUCUUUGAUUCGACCCAUUUUACGUCGCUAAAAAUUGUGAUUCAAAAUAUCUACGAUUCUAUAAAAAAAAUAUAUCUCUAGCCGCCUUAUCCUCUCGCCGCUCACUCUCCCUCCAGAUUUUUUUCGCCGACCUGGAGCCGUUGGCCUUAUCCCUGUCGCAGGAUAUUCUCUCCUCCCUCCUCUUCUUCUCCUACGCUCAUCCAGAUAUCCCCGCUGGCCAAGCUCGGUCUGGCCAUCUCCCAACGCGCCGCCACCCGAAGUCCCGCCCUGACACACGUGCUCCUCAAGCUCCUCUUUCUGACCAGAACUCCCUGUUGCCGCUCUUCCUUGGCCGCGCUCGCUGCUCGCUCCCCCUACUUCCUCUUUCUCCCCCUCCUCGACUCCUCAUCAGGCUCUCCUGAAUCGCGACUGUAGCACCGAUGCAACAUGGCGAGGAUUCUCCUGCUCCGAAUAAAACCGGCUCGGCCCGAUGGACUCGCUGUGUCCUGCCGCCAGCCAACCUCACCAGUGGAUCCCCUGGUGCCGCGACCCCGCUGUGGAGCUCCUGUGCACGCGCGCCCCAUCUCGUCGCGCUUGGCCUCCAGCUCUAGUACGUCGAGUUCCUCUCUGUCCGCGCCAUGGAGCUCGCGCCGACCGUCAGUUGGUCCUCCUCUAGCCACGUGUGGCGCGCGCUCUCCCUGGUUCAUGUGCCCAACGCCGUUGGCUCUAGUCUCUCGCUCGGGGUGGUUCCGUCAUCUUCCUCGGGCUCGACACGCCGGUCCGACAGCCGCCAUCCCCUGCUCGGUCCCCUGCUUGGUCAUGGUACCUAGCUGUCGCGCCCCUAGCUUGGCUCUGCUCUGCUCACCCCUAUGCUGUCGCUCAGCUCGCCGUGGAGGUUGUCCACCAUGGUACUCUGCAUCCCGCUGCUCUCCAGGCCACCGGAUCCUGUGCUCACCUCGGCAUCGACCUCGCCGUCGUUCCCUAGCUUCACGCUGAACCCCAGCCGGCAUGGAGCUUCCCCGCGACGCGCCUCUGAGUCCCUAGCCAACUCGCGCCCAGCCCCAUGUCUUUGGAUCACUCGCGUGUGUUGCCGGAGUCGCUCACCUCGAUCUCUCUCGCUCUCGAUCUGCCAUGGCCGGUUGGCCCUGCUUCCUUGUGUGCGCUCCGAUUGCCGCGGUCCUCACGCGCCCCUCUCCCUGGAGCUUCUUCCGCGCGUCAGGACCUCCAUCGAGCUCGCCCAUGGCCGUGGGCUGCAGCUCGUUCCACCUCUCUGCCGAGGUCUCGCCCCAGUCCCUUGAGUCUCCAAGCCGUGGAGCUUCUUCCUCCCUGCGCCCUAGCUCAGAUCUCCUUGGUGCUCGCCCAGUCUGCGCGCUGAGCUCCCUCGUCGCGGUUUCCUGCUCCCUCACGGCCAUGCCCUGCUUUCCACAGCCAUUUUCUCCUCUGCUCAGAUCUCGCCCAGCUCGGAGCUCCCUCGUCGUGGCUGUCGUGUCCCUGCGCCCAGCCUGCUCAUCGUCUCUGCAGUGCACCCGCUCUCAUCCAUCGGGUUUCGCGCGUGCUCGCGUUUGCCGUCAAGCCGUUGAACCCAUUUUCCCCCGCUCGACCUCGUCUUCGCCCUUCUGGUGGCCAUCGUCAAUAUGGUGCUGGACUACGCUCCUUUAUAUGGUCGCACUGGCGAUCGACCUUGUUGGUCCUUUCCGUGUCAAACCAGCAAGCUCCGCCACCGUCACUCAACUGCUCGCCCCGCGUGUGCUCGUAAAUUUUCUUGGUCAUGUCUGCUGAGCUAACCAACGCUCUAGCUCGCCGUUAUCGCCAAGUCCCACGCAGCUGUGUUGUCUCUCGUCGUCAUUCAUUCCUAUUUUUCCCCGCCAUAUGUCGCCUCGUCAUGACGCGUGUCGUCGUCUUUAAUCUCAGUAGCUCUUCCGAUACGCGCCUCGCCGUGCUUCACCUCCUCGUGAUCAGCCUCAUCUGGGUUAUGGGGCGCGGAAGAUCUCAACACCUGUCAGAUGUCCGACGACAAGCCCGAGCCAGAAUUUAUCAACAUUCUCACAAGUAUUGAGUCACGUUUGAUGCUGGUAAGCAGAAUUUAUUUGCUUAGUAAUUUUAGUGCUUUGCCGGUAGGCGCUAUCGACAUUUUAUGCGAGGAAUUUUAGUUGUGCAGUGAAGUCAGUGCUAUGCAUUCAUGUGCAUUAUGCAAAUCAUUUAGGUACGUUUAUUGACCACGUGAUGCGGAGAACCAAAGCUGAGUCGACCCCAAGAUGACGUAACGGGUGGACUAAUUCGCAAGAUGAUGCUGGUGGAUUAACCUGAAGAUGGAUAAUCAGAACAAGUAUCAGAACAAAAGAUGAUCGCCAAGUGGACAACGUCUAACAACACUAACCUAGUGUUAUCCAGGCAAGCCCCGGUGCAUUUGCCACCUCCUUGCUAUUUUAAAAUCUUUCUCACUUACUUGAUGCAUUAGGUGAUAGGAGUUGUGUGCUUAACCAGUUGCUGCAUUUCCUUCCUUGGAUUUGAUUCCUUCUCCUUAAUCCCUGUUUUACAAAAAGUUUUUCUUAUGCUUAGCUUUGCUCUAGAAAAACAAAAUGUUUUGUUUUGACAAAGAUGAUGCUUCAAAGUGGGUGGGAUGUUUUCAAAAACAAAACUUGAUGGUGGAUCCAUCAUGGCCAUGAUGGGUUCAACAUCAGAAAAGAUGUACCUCUGCCAGGUACCAAACUUUGGGUUUGAAAUGAUAAAGCUGAGACCGGGCGGGUGACUUGCACGAGAAGAGAGUCUCGGUGUAGUGUCUCCGUCUAAGUCGAUUAAGGACCUUGUCGAUGUAGGCUUGAUGAUCGAGGACCCUUUAACUGGUCACAUGCCUCGUCAUGGGUAAGCUUUGCCUCGGGCAGACUAAUACCAGAAUAAGAUAACAUGCAAUGGGAGUGGAGAGAUGGCGAGAGUAGCGUGUACCCUCCGUGGCAAGUGGUUGGACGGUGGUGUAUUUGUGCUCUCGGUUGGCGUGAACCUGGUCUGGUCUUAAGAACCCCGGUGGCGAGUUGACUUAUGCAAGGGUUAAGUGCUACAUAUGUCGUGUGAUUGGAGAUCCUCACCUGAGUAUAAUCGAUUCGGAUCGCCGUAACUUCACGGACAUGAAGACUUGGUCACUGACCUACACGUAUCAUUCCAGUGAAUAAGAAAGGGUUGAUAAGAAAUUGGCUAGUAUAGGUCAAGUGCUUCAACUAGGGUAGAAAGAACUCUAGAACUCAAGUAAUGACUUAACUUACUAAUAAAAUUGGACUUUUAAGGAUUCACUAUUAGUAAGCAUUUCUGCAAACAGAGUCAUUGAUUAUUGAAAAACCAUACCUUGAUUCCCAAAGGCCAGCAUAUCCUUGAGAGUCUUUUAUUUGGACAGGUAAGACUUGCGAAAGUACACUUCAUACUCAGGGCUUUGUCACAUGUUGUUUUAGGUGAAGAGCCUGCGGAGCUUUGCUACUUUUGUGCAAUGGUGGUUCCCAAGCAGGAGGAAGAACCGAAAAUAGAAGUGCGUUGUUGUGGAUGGUGCUAAGUGCCGGUGGACUCAGCCUUCUUAAUAGUCUCAGUACCUCUUCUAUACUUCUUAUUGAGGAUGGUCACUUAAGCUAGCAUAUAUUUCAAACUUACAAGUAAUUUAUAACAUUUCAAAGUUUAUUUCUUUGAAUCACUUUGUAAUCACUCCGAUAAACUUAAUGUAAAUUUGAUGUAACUUGUAACCUUUUGUAAUAAAGAAAUUCCGCUGCAAAAUAUUGGUGUGUG
rnacentral:lncRNA from 1 species